rnacentral:rRNA from 1 species
GGUGAACGCUGGCGGCGUGCCUAAUACAUGCAAGUCGAGCGAAAAGACGAGGAGCUUUCGCCUCUACCGUUAGCGACGGACGGGUGAGUAACACGUGCAUAGCCAACCUAUAAGACUGGGAGAACAUCGGGAAACAACAGCCACUAACACAUAAUACAUCGAACCGCAGAGAGCAAUAGAGAAACACAGCUUUCCCGACUGAUAGAGACGGUUCCGCGCCGCAUUAGCUAGUUGGUAAGGUAACGGCCUACCAAGGCGACGAUGCGUAGCCGACCUGAGAGGGUGAUCAGCCACACUGGAACUGAGACACGGUCCAGACUCCUACGGGAGGCAGCAGUAGGGAAUAUUGCGCAAUGGGCGCAAGCCUGACGGAGCCAUACCGCGUGAGUGAUGAAGGUCUUCGGGUCGUAAAGCUCUUUUGUUAGGAAAGAACAAAUGUGUGAGUAACUAUGCACGUUUUGACGGUACCUAAUGAGUAAGCCACGGCUAACUACGUG